CGGAUCUCGUAUAUAUCAUGGCAUUUUCUGUGGUCUUUGAAAACUAACUGGUCUGGAACACGGGUGAAAGUGUCAUGAUAAAGGAAGUAGAUAUUGAUUAAUAAACAAAUAGACCGUGUUAUUAAUUUUAAUUUUUUGGGCUUCUUCAACCGUCAUUAUGCUUCCUGAAAAGAACAACGUUUUGGUAGAAGUAGUAGAUUGCUCUUUCCCCGUCCUCAGAUGAACCAACAACUGAGCGCGUGACUUUGACUUCUCGACCUGUGUAGUUUAGCUCUGUCUAACUGGCCAGACCACCCUCAUUUAACCAAAUAGGAAGACAAUCAAGAACAAUGUCAGCAUCAGAGAAAAAAUUGCUGGCUAAAGCAUUGUUCCUGAGGUCAGAGGAAGUAGAAGGGUUGUUGGCAGUACGAUCUUACAAAAUGUGGUUUCUAUCUACAGACUUCAAGUGAAGUAUCCUGUUGUGGAAUAUGAUAGGGGUGUCCUGGAGGUGAGUGUGGUGGCCCAGGUUGAAGGAGUGCUCGGCUACGGCGGAUUUUUCAGGUUGCUCCAUCCAGAUGUGGCCCCGGUGCUCCUUGACCCCUUCCGGUCCCUAUAGCUCUAGCGGG